UGAUCGAGUUCGCCAAGUGGCCGAGCGAGACAGAAGAGCUCCUUGGCACUGGAUGCCUCCGGGUCUGGUUGAGAGAGGAAUGGUUAGGAGAUUGUUCUGAGGAUAUGCAGACAUCAUCCAAAGCUUCCUACAUUCAGAUGAGGACAGAGGUUGGGCUAGAGCUUUGUAUGCUUGUUACCUAAGUAUGGUUCUGACCAUGUAAGCAGAUCACAGAAGCUAUUCACAGAUCAUCAUCAGCCAGAGGUGACUUCUGUUGCUUGCAGCUCAGAAUCCUAGAUGUUUCUGGUGGCACUGAAGAGCCUCUGCCGAAGCUCUAUACCAUUUGCCAUGUACAAAGGGAAAUGAAAUAAUAACGCCGACCAUUUGUGGAGCACAUUCUGUCUGGAGGCAAAUAAUGCCAAGAUGGGAAAGCCACAUAAUGGAAGGAUCCCAGAUUUCAGAGCUGUCACUUGGAGGAGGGGCACACAGUGAAGGUGUCUAUCUAACCCACACCAUAUCUUCAUGAAGUGGCCAUAUGGAUUUGAUCCCUAUCCUUCAGAGGUGCUCAGCCUAAGGGAACAUGGGUAGAAGAUUAAGCACUGACCAGGCUCAAGUUCGUACAUUCCAACUUGUUGUUUGGGCCUUGUUGGACAUAACCAAAGUCUGGAUGGCAGGGUGAAAAUUGGAUAAACAGCCACACUGACUCAGGGGAGAAUUUUUUUAAUGCAAACAUCUGUUUCUUGAAUUUGGCCAUGGUAAGACCUAAGGGAAGGGGGAAUACCAGUUGAUGAAAUAAGAUCAAGAAGAUACUGCCUCAUUUAUUCUUCUGUUUCAGGGGUAUAAAUCCUGCCUUCUCUCAGCCUUACAGAGGAAGAAAACCCUUUCCAAGUUUCCUCUGAUACUGGGUUUAUGCCCAAUUCUAGUUUAGGCAUGAAGAAACUGAAGCAUGGAGGAAAAACUAAACAACUAGCCCAAUGUCACACAGGCAAGCCAGCCUUGACAAUGUGCUGAUGGCAACCU
rnacentral:antisense_RNA from 1 species